rnacentral:lncRNA from 1 species
AGCAUUCUGUGGGUCCCGGGGGUCAUUGCCAAAGCACGCGACAGUGUCGACGCGGGUGGUGUUGUGUGAGACAUCGCAAACGCAACGGUGGCUACACCUGUCAGAAGAUGCACGGACUCGGUCACAGGUGCACGGGGGAGACGGAGAUUAUGGCUGGAAGGUAUUACCAUCGCUGCCCCUGCGUCGAGCAUCUGAGGUGUCGUGGGAACCAUGCUCUCAAGCUGUGCGUUCCGAAGAACUGGUCGCUUGGUGACUGACCGCAUUAAAGCUUCGCAAACU